GACGAACGCUGGCGGCGUGCUUAACACAUGCCAGUCGAACGGAAAGGCCCUGCUUUUGUGGGUUUCUCGAUUGGCGCACGGGUGAGUAACACGCGAGUAACCUCUCCUUGUCUUUGUGAUAUCUCCUGGGAAAUGGGGCUAUUACAGGAUAGAAGCUCUUGCUGCAUGGUGGUGGUUGGUAAGUUUCGGCGGUGGGGGAUGGACUCGCGGCUUAUCCGCUUGUUGGUGGGGUAGUGGCUUACAAAGGUUUUGACGGGUAGCCGGCCUCAGAGGGUGACCGGCCACAUUGGGACUGAGAUAGGGCGCAGACUCCUACGGGAGGCAGCAGUGGGGAAUAUUGCACAAUAGGCGGAAGCCUGAUGCAGAAACGCCGCGUGCGGGAUGACGGCCUUCGGGUUGUAAACCGCUUUCGCCGGUAACGAAGCGUGAGUGACGGUAAUGGGUAAAGAAGCACCGGCUAACUACGUG
rnacentral:rRNA from 1 species